rnacentral:rRNA from 1 species
CAGUCGCCGCGGUAAUACGAAGGGUGCAAGCGUUACUCGGAAUUACUGGGCGUAAAGCGUGCGUAGGUGGUGGUUUAAGUCCGUUGUGAAAGCCCUGGGCUCAACCUGGGAAUUGCAGUGGAUACUGGGUCACUAGAGUGUGGUAGAGGAUAGUGGAAUUUCCGGUGUAGCAGUGAAAUGCGUAUAGAUCGGAAGGAACAUCUGUGGCGAAGGCGACUAUCUGGGCCAACACUGACACUGAGGCACGAAAGCGUGGGGAGCAAACAGGAUUAGAUACCCCAGUAGUCCCUGUCUCUUAUAC